UUCUGAGGAAAAUCCACGAGCCGGAGUAAGUGGGGGUGAUGGACACCCACCCGCCCCUCCCGCCGUCGGACUGGAAGAGGCUCACUUAAUGCUGCAGCUCCGCGAACACUGGGGGGCGCCGCGCCUGAGAAAGGAGAAGCAGAUCUUUAAGGAGGGUCGAGGCGAAUUCCCACAGCGGAUUUGCCCUGCAUAAAGGAGGGGCUGGACACGCGAGAUUGGUUCCGCUACCCUUGGGAUUUGCUCCAAUCCCCGCCCGGACUUUCCUUCCUUCGGCGCCCUCGUUUUUUCUUUGGGCGGUUUAGCUAUUCUCUGACCUCCAAAGUGCGAGUGGUUCGACUCCACCACAACCCGGAGCAACUGGAGGCAGAGACGCUUUAAUGGCUGGUCUCCUUAACGACGUGAGCGUGGAAUUCGAAGCAACGACGACACCAGUUAGAGCAGAGCUGGGAGUUUGGAAGCUCCCGAGAACCCUUCGCCCCCAUUUUCUCCGCAGCCCCGCACGGAAGAGUUCUCGUUGCCUUGUUUUUCAGAAGUGGCGCCUUCAGUUUCCAACCGGGGCCCCUCGGAUUCCAAGGAAACAAAAGUUAGAAAACUUUUGAACGUUUCCUUGGCCAUUGGCGUAAGGUCGCCCAGGGCUCGUCUAAUGCAACAUCCUCCUUGGGCAAACGGGACUUCAAAGGUUUCUCAAGAAAAGUUCGCUUCGCACUUCCUCUGUUGAAAUAGGGCCCUGAAAUUGCAAAGUAGGGAGAAGACUCAAGAUAGCUGGUGCGGGGCUCGGUAACGGUGCGGCGGACGAUGUUGACCAACAAUGUUGGUUACAAUGAGCAGGCCGGGGAUGUUCAGCCGCAGGUGGGCCAAGAGGCGGCACCCACUACAGCUUCCACCGCUCCUUCAGCGGCCUUCAGUAGCGAUGGCAAGAAAAAUGAAGAUCUUAAGCAGAUGUUGGAAAACAACAAUAUUCUGCUAAAUUGGAGGCUAUAAAAAGGAUUGUUGGAAUGAUUGCCACAGGAAAAAAAUGCAUCUGAAUUGUUUCCUGCUGUAGUGAAGAAUGUAGCAAGUAAAAGUAUCGAGUUUUAAAGGGACGAAUGCUGUAACAUUGAAUGAAAGUAAAUGAUGAAAGAGGUGCAGUCACAAAACUGAAGUUCUCCUGCCUCUGAUCUCCAUGUGGUUUCAAGGAACAGAGGCUUUCUCUGCACACCUGCAGUCAUUCACUAUACAGGCCUCUUGUUGUCAGUGUUGAUUGUUGCUUGUUCAUAGAACAAUAACAAAUAAUUUAAAGCCUUGUAACCUGUGAUUUAAUAUGUUGCUUUUUGGCAGAAUAGACAGAGAAAUAUUUCUUCAGCUAGUGACAAUAAUUAUAACACAACUGUACUUAGAAGGUUUUUUACACAUUUUUUUUACAACUGCUUAUGAUGUUAUUUAAAAUUGAAAUCAUUUUUGUUGAGGGCCAUUUAAACUUAUAUGGACUUUAUUUAGAAAUUAACUAAACUAUAAUUUUUAUAAGGUGUCGAAUUUUUAUAAGCUGUAGAAUUUCAGUGACUUACCUGUUUAGAAACUCUGUACAUAAAAUGCAAGCAUAUCAUGUCGCAGGGAAUCUAGAAUGUCCAUAAUGCAACAAUCUUAAACAACCAUAUUGGAUGUACUUGUGAAUGGUACUAAAUGUUAAUGUCCAAAUGAACUGGUUUGUUUUUCAGAUUAAAAAACUUGUAAAAAAAAGAUAGCUGAUGCAAUUGGAAGAAUAAGGACAAGGAGAGCCAAGAGAGCAGAGGGGGGCGGGGCUUAAGAAGAAAGCUCUGUUGCUGGUUGGCCCAGCAAGGAAAAAAAAACAGUGCCAUCAGAACAAGAAGCCAGGGCCACAUUUUUCAGGCCAGAGGGAAGCUAAGUGCAUGGAAUGGCAUCACAUAUUUCGUGGUGUGUUUUGGAGGAAUUGGGGUGAAUCUUUGGAGGUUAUAGGGCCACAAAACAGAAUUCAAGGGGCAAACACUGCUCAUUUCUGGUCUGUGAAGGACAAAGAACACAGAAUGGUGCAUAGAGCAGGCAACCCUCUUGUGAUUCUUUUAAUGUUUUCUGGAAAUAUUUAGAUUUUCCAUGAUAAACUAUAUUUGUCUCCUUGGUUGUUUUAUUAAACAUUCAUUUAUUAUAAAUAGCGUUUAUUACUAAGUAUCACCAAGUAAGAAUAGACAAAAUAAACGUUUUAAACUGG